rnacentral:lncRNA from 1 species
ACACAUUGUGUUUAAUAAAGGACAGAGAGAACAGAAUGUGCCGGAGCCAAAAAAUGUGUCAUCUUCUUCAAAAUGGAAAAUACAAACUAAAAGCCUAAGCUUCGUCCAAAUGACCACCUCCCUUCGUCGCUGCCUAGUCCUCACGAGCCAGCUCCUGACGAAAACCGAACAAACCAGUCUGCUUCGUCGUCAACAAUCAGCUCCCUUUCAUAUUCGUUGUCCGUCUCCUUCAUGUCCAGCAGCUUUCUCCAACACCAUCGCUGCUCCUUCUUCUUCGUCUGCUCGGUUCCGUUCGCGUUUUCGGCGCCGCUGAAGUUUUCUGGCCAUGGUCACUGAUAUUUGGUUCGUUUGUUUCAAAAAUUCAAAUUCCAAAAUAAAGGUUUGUUUCUUUACAUAUGUAUCGUUUCUUCACAAAUUAAUUCAUGGAUGUUGGGUUGAACAAAUAUUUCGGUAUCUAAGUUCUUACAUGUUUCUGUGAAUAUUCAUUCCAUGUAUCAAAGUGAGUUUGCUUUAAAGUUGGUUGUGCUUGUUAGCAUUAGAAAAUGUUUAGCCCUUUGUUAGUAUGUUUCCUUGUUGUUGUUCUUAAGAUAAAUUUAUUUGUUAUAAGGUUUGUGUUGGCUUCAUGAUUAGUUGGAAAUAUGAUGUGAGUUUGGUGUUGGUGAUUUCGGCUUUGAGUGUUUUUAUUAAUGGACCGUUUGUUUGGUUAGUGUUUAAGGCGUUGGGCCAUGUGCUAUUGAGAUAUUUAGUUGAUGAACAUUGGCCUUUGGUAAUUUAAUAGAUAGCGGGCUGCCUGUUUAGAAUAUAUGGGCUAAAAAUCAAAAUCUUUUUAGAACAACGAUGGGCUCAAAUAAGUCGAUCCAUGCUGGCCUGUUAUCCUAAACCAAUUUGUUAAAGUCUUGCAAAUAGUUAUGAGUUCUUUAACUAGUAUGGGGAUGAAAUAUUGUUGAAAUUCGACAUACAUUUUCACAAUGUUAUAUCCAUAAUUCAAGAGCCUCACCAUCGAUAAUCUUAAAGUAGUCUAGAAAAAUAAUUCUUGAAUAUCUAUAGUUUGUUUAAGUGGAGUAAAACCCUUUGGAGUAAAAUGAGACGAGUUUCGCCAAAUAAAAUGCACAAAUAGAUGGGCUCUCAUAAAUGUAUAUAUUAAUGCUUAGAUUUCGGGACGAGCCGUUUAGUAAAUUUCACGGCCUUCCCCAAAGUAAUAACGCGGUAGUCACUUUAGGCGCGUGUUUGAUAAUUUUACCUCCUUGAACUCGGGUGUGCAUUUCAUGUUACCCAAAUCCAAAUCCAAAUCCCAAAAUGUCGAAUCGGGUAUGUUCAAGAUUGCAGGUUUAUUUCAUGCGACGAAAUCCAAAGGCAUGUCUCAAACGACGUUCAAUUUGCUUUAAUAAUUUGAAUAAAAGCAGUUAAAAGUUAAAAUUGGCACAUACGUUUCAAUAUGUAUUAAAAUAAGGUAAAUAAGCUGAACAUGACAGUUGAGCAACCGUGCUAGAACCACAGAAUUCGAGUAUGCCUAACACCUUCUCCCGGGUUAACAGAAUUCCUUAUCUGGAUUUCUGGUUCGCGGACUGUAAUACAGAGUCAAUCUUUUCCUCGAUUCGGGAUUCAACCGGUGACUCUGAAUCUUAAUAAUAAAUCCCGUUUCGAUUGUCCUUUAAUUGGAAAAACUUCUUUACCCUCGCAGGGCGGUAAAAAAGAGGUGUGACAGCUCUAGAGACUCUGCUGGGGAUAAACAGGUGCCCAACGGUCAUAGAUUCAUUUGGUAACCAUUGAUUAUUUCACUGGUGAUCUUGCCAUAUGGCAAAGGUUAUGUGAGCACGUGAUUUUUUCCCUCACGAAAACUACUCCAAAAGAAAUCAAAAAUAAAACAAUUUCCUUGGUGUACAAUUUUUAGAAUUUGCGUGACAUUUUUUUGGAUAAUUAUUUGUACUUUGUCUGUGAACGUUUAUUUUUGUUUUAAUAAAUUAAAAAAUACAAAAAUACAUGUUGCAUGCAAAAUUAGGAUUUAAUUUUUGCAUUAAUUAAACCAUAAUUUGGUUUUAAAAGUGAAAAAUCACAAAAAGAUAUGCAUUUUUUGUUGUCAUUGUGUGAUUUUAUUUGUUUUAAAAUUAUGUGUUAAUUUUUGUUAAGUGUUAGUUAAAUAUUUGUGUAGUUUGAUUUUUUCGUUUUAACAUUUUUAGGAAUUUUUUUAAUUGUUAAAUUAAAAGAAGAAAUAUAAAAGAGUAAAAUAGGAGCUUAAAACGUAUUAUGGCAAAAACAUUUAACUAAAUCAGGCCCAAAACCAAAUCCCAGGGCUGGUCCAGGGUCAAAGGCAUCCAAGCGACACCGUUUUGGUCACGUAUGAUCUGGGCCGUUGAUCUCAAAUUGAUCAACGACCAAAAUCCCUCCAACCCGCAUCCAUCUCCCCAACCCGGUCCAUCAACUUAACAAAAACUACCCCGUUUCACACAGGAGAUCAUCAUAGCCGUUAGAUUUCCAUGAUCCAACAACUCAAGUUAAUGCACAAAUUUUAAUUAACCAAAAAGACCCAAAAAUCCAAAACCCUAAUUCAUUUCACCAUCUCUGACCUUCAGAGAAACCUCCGCCUCCUCCUCCACCAGAAAUAUCCUCACGGCGGUUUCGGUGGCCCAAACGCCUCCAUCUUCACACCAUCGAACCCUCACGACCCCCUCACUCCACUCCCAGGCCCAGUUUCUUCGAAUCAAACGAAUUCGUUUCGAAUCUUAAUUCCCGUCCAAGAACCCUAUCCGCCGCCAUAAGACCCCAGUGGACGGCGCCCCCUUUCGACCCCAAAUUGAUGCCCUAUCACCAUUGUGUCUCCCUCAUCCCAUAUCCAGUUCCAUCCCCUUUCAAAUACCACCCCAACUCCCUGAACCCUAACUCACAAAAAACUUUGACUUUGAUUUGAAAUACGAGUUUGGUCGUUUGAGGGUCCAUUUGGUUUGAUUGGGGUUUAGCCAUGUGUUUUCAUAUUGAAACACACGAUUAAACUCUAUUUCAAAUCCAAAUCAAGAAAAGGGGAGGAGUGAUAGUAAAUUCAGCCCGUUUUAAUUUUGUAGGUAUUGUUUUCAAUUCCUUUUCUUUAUAUUUUUAUUUGUUAGUUUGCACUUCAAUAUUGCUUCUUCUUCUCCUUCAUUUCUAUUUUUUGUUUUCUUGAUCUCUGUUAAUUGAACCAAGUGUGAAAUUAGCUUAUUGGUAUUUGAAUUUGCUUAUUCUAUUCGAUUCUUGCCAAUGUUUGAUUCUUUUAAUUGAGUCGUUCAUCGAAUCGAACUGUUUAAUCAAUUAAAAUGUCAUUGAGUAUUGGUCAUUAGUUUCUGUAUUGAUCUGUCAAUCAGUUUAGGAACUUUUUGUUUGAAUCCAUCCAUGAAUUGAUUAUAGUUGUUGUAGUUUGGUAGUUGAAUUCAAUUAAGAUUGAAUUGGUUAUAGCUGACGGAUUCAAUACAAUUUGAAAGAGGUUGGGUAAGGCAGUAAUUUCAAAUGGGUUAAGGGUAAUAUUGGGAUUUAACAAGGCUGUUAAGUAAGACUAACUUAAAAGUCUGUCAAAGCGUAUUAAAUGAUUGGUUUAAAGCAAUAGCGAAGAACCCUUCUUAAUUUAGGGAAGAAAUUAAGGAAGAAAAGCACAUGUUGAUUAAGUUUUUCAAAAAAGAUAGGCAGACUUUUGGCAUCUUGGGUGUUGGGGUAGUUAAGUUUUUCAAAAGGGGCAUAUUUUUUAGAUUUGAGUUGAAAAUGAGUAGGUCUGUUUUGGGUUAUAAAUGGAGAAGAGUUUGGAUAUAGGAGGGGGCUUUUUAAUCAAUUAGAGAUGGAUUGAGAGCAAGAAAACAUGCUGGAAUUUUCUGUAAACAUUCAGAGAGUUAUAGAGUUUUUUUAGAGCUUAUUUUUUCAGAACUUAAGAGUGAGAGUUGAAUUGAUUUUUCAUAACUGAAAAAGAAUCAUAUAUAGAGUGACAUUAGGCUGAGUUUUCACUUAAAAAGAUUUCAGUUGGUCUUCCUUGAGGGUCGAUAAUCAAAACACUAUUCUAUUGCACCCGCCUCACUUCUAAUUUGACUGGGGUGCAUUCUGAGUGUUACUAGGCAUUUGGUGUGAAAAUUCUUAGGGGUUUCGUUGCUUUUUGGCUUCUGUUAUUGCUUUUAGUCCCUGGUGGUUUGCUGAGUUUUUCUAUUGGUGGCCAAUCUCUAUUGCAUUUGUUCUUGGCUUCCUAUACAUUUGGUUUUCAUUCCAUUACUGGGACAUUGGCGUUGUUACUGAAAUCUGCGAUGCUGCAUUGAUAUUGUUGUGUUACUGUUUCUCAUCACUAAUCCUUCUCUUUCUUUUGCUUUCCAAUAUCAGGUACACAACUGAUGCACUGAUUUUUGUAAGCUAAAACUCAAAGCAUGAAUGAGAAUGAAGCCUUAAGGCUUUGAAGUUAUUUAAUUGUUGUUUUUUCAUCUUGGUUGUGUAUAUACAAUAGUUAGUUCCAUCUAUUAAAAACAUGUUGUAGUUUUGUUAUAUACAACUGAUUCAUAGGGUUGUAGUAGUAGAUAUAUUAUGCUAAGUUUAAAGAACCAGUAUUUCAGUUUAUUUACGAAGCAUGUUUAAAUACAUAUAAGGCUUUAGGUUAAUAACUCAAUAGAUUGAACCAUUUCAGGUAAUAUGUUAUAUAUCCAUAUUCAUAAAAUAAGCUUCAUUAGAUACUACUUUUAUUCUUGCUUCUUAAAUGUCAAAACAAUGGUGAAAUAAGUCACAUGCCCAAUGUUAGAAUAAAAAUGGCCCGUGUGAUGACCCGGCCGGUUGUCUUUGGAAUUUAUGCCCCGUUUUCCUAUUUCUGCUUUCCCUAAGUUCAUUUCUGCUAUUUUGUCUUGCCGGG